GUGCACCCGGUUCAGUCGGUAGAGCAUGAGACUCUUAAUCUCAGGGUCGUGGGUUCAUGCCCCACGUUGGGCG
rnacentral:tRNA from 1 species